UGUUUUUUAGAAAAAAAAAUUUUUGCUCCUUUUUCAGUAGGAGGCCCCUUUUGAUAAUUUACAAUAAAACUCGCGUUUUCUUUUCUCCGCGUAGCGUCAUUCCAGUGCUAGGGUUGUAGUGUUCAAAUAUUUCAGAGCCAAAUGUCAGAAUUUUAUUUUGUUACACUUUAGUUUAUUGUUUGUGAAAUAGAAUUCUGGGGUUUUCUUUCGAUUUACUUCCCAAUUUUUGUGGAAAUUUAUCCUUUUCAUUUCCUUUCGAAUUAUUGUGGAAAUUUAUCCUUUUCGUUUCAUUUCCAACUUUAGAAGAAAAAUGCUGUGGAUUUCUGUUCAAAGUUUUAAUUUUGACCGUUACUAGGGUUCAUCAAUCACUGCCUUCUCAUUUCCCCCAAAUUAGUGUUAGCAUUCUCUUCCUUUCUUGUUUUAUUUGUUUUUUAAGGGUGAUAUUUUCGGAUAUGUAUCCUCUUCACUAUAAAAAAACAGUAUACAGUAAAAUGAUCUCUAUUUAAUCACAACCAUUGAUUAUCUAGCAAUACAUAAUUAUGAUUUUUUCUUUGAGUGCAAAUUAAAAAUGAUGGUACAUGUUACAUUUAGAAUAUAUCACAAUCACUCAUGGUGUAGUCAAUGGUUAAAAUAGAAAGCAGUGGUCCCUCCACAAUUUUUUAUUUAUUUUUGUAGUGGAGAGGAUCCACAAUCGAUAUUUUCAUGUUUAAUUGUGUUUCCCUUUUAUACCAGGUCAAGGAGAAGCUGAUCACCCAACCCCAGCUCCAAUCUAAAACUUUGCUUGAGAAAAUGGAUGACAUCGCCGCAGUUAACUUGAAGUACGAUGAUGAUGGCCUGUGAACGGCAAGGGGGUUGGCAGAAAAGUUAUUGACAAAUUACACUAAACUUAUGACAGUGAGCUCGGUAACAAAGAUUUUGCUUAUGACAGGGACAAGAGUUUGUUUGCACUAGGUUACCUACCACAAAUGAAGAACAAGGUCCUUGAUGUUCUGGAGGAUGCACCAUCAGAUAGAUUGCUGGCAAUGGACGCCCAGGUGGAAUUGCAGCCUGGGCGAGAAUGAGUUUAAGAGCUUGAGGCAUCUGUAACAGACAAAGUCCUUUAAAGUUUAGCUAAAUUUUUCUGCAAAGAUUCCAAUGCAGUCAAUUGCUAUGGCUGUAAAAGGCCAUGAUACUCUCAGGAAGCACUGAAGUGCUUGUCUGUUUGGUAUGAUAUUGGCAUGUGGCAAAUCAGUAUGAUUGUUAUACUUGUGAUAUUCUGUCAGCGAUAUACUUAUUCUGUAAUUGACAGGUCACUUGGAGUUCCCUCCCCUCUCUUCUGAAUGCAUUACUUCUUGCAUGGGUUGCUUGAAGUAUGAAGAUGAUUGGCCUGUCGAUGAACUGCUGGCCUGGGAAGCCUAGGUGGAAAUGAUAGCCUGAGUGAGAAUGACUAUAAGAGCUUUGAGGAGUCCCUAUCAGAUGAAGAGGGCUACAUUUACCUAAGAAUGUUCUCAUUGCACUAUUGAUACAUCUUGGUAUGAGGUUGCUAUCGGACUGAUUUCUGUAUUGCCAAUUUAUGCAAAGAAAUGGCAGGUGAUGCCUGCUCCUUCUUCUGUCAUGUGUUCUGUUGUGCCUUAGUAUUUUCAACUUGGAUUUUCUUUCCUCCAAAUCUAUGUUCCUUGGUGUCUCUUCAAAUAUGAAAAUGAAUUAUCGUCACUCCAAAUAUUUUCGCUCAUUCAGAAGUCAAGGCAAAAGCUUCAGGAAAGAAUGACAGUUUUGAGCAAUGUAAACCCUUUAUAAUGUCUGGUCAUAGAUAUGAACUGUCAUUAAUUCCAUUCAUUUAAUAGGCAUUGAAGAACAACAACUAUUAUGCUGAUCCUUUGCUACGGUGUCUCUAUCAGCGCAUAGUUUUACAUGUGCUACAAGCAGCAAUGGUUUGCUUGUAUCCCUUUCCAUACACAUUAUUUUUUAAGAUGCUUAUAAUAACAUGUUAUUUUGCAAUACUGCUCUUGUCCUUUAUUGCUGAAUUGCUUUCUUUGUUCUUUGGCUACAGUUGAAAGUCGGCAAUGGGGAAGAUUUUAUGCUGAGGAAUGGGAGAAACCUGUUGAAGCUAGCUCUGCAGAUAGCUAGCAGAUGACCCAUUUGUUUUUUGAGGAGAAUCCUUCUGUAAGGAGGCUCCCUGCACCUUCAAGAGUGGAGGAUAUGUUUGAGCAGAUAAAGUCAAACCCUCCUGGUGCUCCUAGACAUGUACUCUGCCUCUUAGCAGAAGAAGAGAGAGACGGGAGCCACACGUUUUGACCAAAGGGGGAUUAAAGCCUAUAAAACCCUCUCCCCUCUCUUCCUCUGUGAGCAUCCUUGAAUCAAUCGACAGAGCCUUUUGAGGAGCAAGAAGCAGAGUUUAGAGAGUGAUAUGAUUAGGGUUUGGUAUUUGAGCAAUUUUGUGAGAGAGAUUGAGAGAAAAAGAAAUCAAGAGUGAUUUGUUGUUUGUGAGUUUAUCGAGUGAUUGUAAUCUCUAUUUGUACUCUUUCUCUAUUAGUGAGAUCUAUCCCCUCCUUGCCCAGUGGACGUAGACACAUUGCCGAACCACGUAAAUUUGGUGUCUUGCUUGCUAUGGUACUUGUUUUUGAUCUCGUUUGUGAUUUUUUUGGUUCCGCUACGCACAACAAGU